GACGAACGCUGGCGGCGUGCUUAACACAUGCAAGUCGAACGGAAAGGCCCUGCUUUGGUGGGGUGCUCGAGUGGCGAACGGGUGAGUAACACGUGAGUAACCUGCCCUGGACUUUGGGAUAACUUCAGGAAACUGGGGCUAAUACCGGAUAGGAGCUCCUGCUGCAUGGUGGGGGGUGGAAAGUUUCGGCGGUUGGGGAUGGACUCGCGGCUUAUCAGCUUGUUGGUGGGGUAGUGGCUUACCAAGGCUUUGACGGGUAGCCGGCCUGAGAGGGUGACCGGCCACAUUGGGACUGAGAUACGGCCCAGACUCCUACGGGAGGCAGCAGUGGGGAAUAUUGCACAAUGGGCGGAAGCCUGAUGCAGCAACGCCGCGUGCGGGAUGACGGCCUUCGGGUUGUAAACCGCUUUCGCCUGUGACGAAGCGUGAGUGACGGUAAUGGGUAAAGAAGCACCGGCUAACUACGUG
rnacentral:rRNA from 1 species